AGAGUUUGAUCAUGGCUCAGGAUGAACGCUAGCUACAGGCUUAACACAUGCAAGUCGAGGGCAGCGGGAAGUUAGCUUGCUAACUUGCCGGCGACCGGCGCACGGGUGAGUAACGCGUAUCCAACCUUCCCCUUAGUAGGGCAUAGCCCGGCGAAAGUCGGAUUAAUACCCUAUGUUUUCCGAUGAGGACAUCUGAGCUGGAAUAAAGAUUCAUCGCUAAGGGAUGGGGAUGCGUCCGAUUAGCUUGUUGGCGGGGUAACGGCCCACCAAGGCGACGAUCGGUAGGGGUUCUGAGAGGAAGGUCCCCCACACUGGUACUGAGACACGGACCAGACUCCUACGGGAGGCAGCAGUGAGGAAUAUUGGUCAAUGGGCGCGAGCCUGAACCAGCCAAAGUAGCGUGCAGGAUGACGGCCCUAUGGGUUGUAAACUGCUUUUAUAGGGGAAUAAAGUUUCCUACGUGUAGGAUUUUGUAUGUACCCUGUGAAUAAGGACCGGCUAAUUCCGUGCCAGCCGCGGC
rnacentral:rRNA from 1 species